AUCCAAUUGACGAGUCAGAACUAAGACGAAACGCGCGUCCUGGAU
rfam:Schistosoma rodhaini strain Burundi genome assembly, scaffold: SROB_scaffold0000620